AUCUAAUUGAUGAGUCUCAAAUAGGACGAAAUGAAUAUCCUAGAU
rnacentral:hammerhead_ribozyme from 1 species